rnacentral:rRNA from 1 species
UACCCUCGAGUGGGGAAUAACUUCGGGAAACCGAGGCUAAUACCGCAUAAUACCCACGGGUCAAAGGAGCAAUUCGCUUGAGGAGGAGGUCGCGGCCCGAUUAGUUAGUUGGCGGGGUAAUGGCCCCACCAAGACGGUGAUCGGUAUCCGGCCUGAGAGGGCGCACGGACACACUGGAACUGAAACACGGUCCAGACUCCUACGGGAGGCAGCAGUGGGGAAUUUUGCGCAAUGGGGGAAACCCUGACGCAGCAACGCCGCGUGGAGGAUGAAGUCUCUUGGGACGUAAACUCCUUUCGAUCGGGACGAUUAUGACGGUACCGGAAGAAGAAGCCCCGGCUAACUUCGUG